GGUGGCUCAGUGGUAGAACGCUUGCCUUGCAUGCAUGAGGCACUGGGUUUGAUUCUCAGCACCA
rnacentral:tRNA from 1 species